rnacentral:lncRNA from 7 species
AUCUUUCCCAGUGAAUUAGGAUCAGCUGGGUCUGGCUUUUAGGAGUAGCAUGCCUGCCUAAAUUGCUGCACUUAAUCUCCUCCCAUCCUUUGAAGGAAAGUUCCAGUUCCUGCAGAUGUCCUUUGUUAGGAAGAAAUGGAAGUUUUCUGCCUUUUAAUCCAAGGUUUUGAAGCCAAGACCAUUGGUCCUGCCAAAGUGAAGAGUAUGUGCCCAGGUGAUCCCAAAGUCCACGUGAGUCCUGUGGAAUUCAGGAGUGGAUGUGAAGUCCUCACAGAGAGCCUCACAGAAAAAUAAAAUGAUACGGAACAUAAAGCGUCCGGUUAUUCACUCAAUUAUCUUCUCAACAGCGGAAUGUCCUUAUCACAAAAGAAAACAAUGGAAGGAAAUCACCUUUCUCAUGAAAACUGCUGAGAGAUUCCCCACUGCAAGGAGAAAACUGGUGACAGAAGGGCUCUGCAUCAAAAAGUAAAGGGAGAACACGGGAGAAAACGACCCUCCUGCACCCAGAUUUUGUCACUUGAUCUAUGUGGAUUGGGAAAGUUAGCAUAAGUUCAUCUGAUUUACGCCUCCAGAAACAUCGCAGCCAUGCUCACUUGGUUUGAUCAGUGUCACUCAUGGGACCUACGUACCCCUGUGCCUCCCCUGGUGUUCUCUGAGCAACGUGAGUAGACGGACAGCUUGGGAAACUUCAGGAACGAAGGAGAAGAUGUUUAAGGGCAGAAAGUGAGGCAUAAGUUUAAUCAGUACAAAAUAUACCAGACAGUCUUUUAGUAUACGUAAUCUAGGAUGACGCCGAUGCUGACUGUGGGUCCAGGUGUUGGCUGUGAGCUGAAGGGAGUGUGGGGGCAAUGUGUUCAGUUUAUGGACUCCCUGGAGAGGAGUGCAGGUACAAAGUCCUGAAUCACUCUCACUGUGGUUUGUUUUUUGUUUUCCAUAUGAUUUUAUGGUUAAAAAUGAGAAAAGAUUUGCUAAGUCUAUCUAUGUAAAUUUCUCAUCUCCAAACCUGUAAUUCCAUAUUUUCCAUUUAAAGAACAGUUUUUCCUUUUUAUUUUAAGUAAACAAACAAAUAAAUAGAAAAUCAAGCCCCUUAACUAAUUAAUGGUGGCUUUUUGGCAUCACUGACUCUCAUAAACUUUGUCAGUGUCUGAUGGCAAUAAAUAGGAUUAUCUGUCUUUUACUCUGGGGAUAAGUAAACGUUGAGUAAUAUCAGUGGUCUUCUCAUAAACUUGUUGAAGACCGUUCUAGAACUAGAAAAUUGUGUGGGGUUACUUAAUAUUUACAGUAACAUGACACAGACUUCAUUAUCACAAGUCAAAUAAAUUCAUAUCCAU